rnacentral:rRNA from 1 species
GGCUAAGACGGGUAGCUGGUCUGAGAGGAUGGUCAGCCACACUGGGACUGAGACACUGCCCAGACACCUACGGGUGGCUGCAGUCGAGAAUCUUUCGCAAUGGGGGCAACCCUGACGAAGCGACGCCGCGUGCAGGAUGAAGGCCUUAGGGUUGUAAACUGCUGUCAGCUGGGAAGAAAAAGCAGAUGGUGAAUAAUCAUCAGCUCUGACGGUACCAGCAGAGGAAGCCACGGCUAACUCUGUGCCAGCAGCCGCGGUAAUACAGAGGUGGCAAGCGUUGUUCGGAUUCAUUGGGCGUAAAGGGUCCGUAGGCGGUUCGGAAAGUCGGGUGUGAAAUCCUACAGCUUAACUGUAGAACUGCAUUCGAAACUCCCGGACUAGAGUGUGAGAGGGGUGAAGGGAAUUCCCAGUGUAAGGGUGAAAUCUGCAGAGAUUGGGAAGAACACCAGUCGCGAAGGCGCUUCACUGGCUCACUACUGACGCUCAGGGACGAAAGCUAGGGGAGCGAACGGGAUUAGAUACCCC